rnacentral:misc_RNA from 1 species
AAUUCUCAACCUUAUUAGCUUUUGCUGAUAAUGGCUUGGACUUGGGGGUCUUUUUGCUGGCUUUCAUUAGUCUGCUCCCCUUAAAUGUAUUAGCUGGCGCCCCGCAGUGGACCGUCUAUUGGUGUGAUAAUUAUCUACGCCGUGGAUGUCUGCUUUCAAUGGGUCUUUGCGCUGCUUCCAACCGUCCCUCUGAGGGACAAUACACAUGACA